rnacentral:rRNA from 1 species
UAUUGGACAAUGGGCGCAAGCCUGAUCCAGCAAUACCGCGUGUGUGAAGAAGGCCUAGGGUUGUAAAGCACUUUCAAUUGGGAGGAAAACCUGCCGGUCAAUACCCGGUAGCUUGACAUUACCUUUAGAAGAAGCACCGGCUAACUCCGUGCCAGCAGCCGCGGUAAUACGGAGGGUGCGAGCGUUAAUCGGAAUUACUGGGCGUAAAGCGUGCGUAGGCGGUUCGUUAAGUCAGAUGUGAAAGCCCUGGGCUCAACCUGGGAACUGCAUUUGAAACUGGCGGACUAGAGUUUAGUAGAGGGGAGUGGAAUUUCAGGUGUAGCGGUGAAGUGCGUAGAUAUCUGAAGGAACACCAGUGGCGAAGGCGACUCCCUGGACUAGAACUGACGCUGAGUACGAAA